rnacentral:siRNA from 1 species
UCUGUCAGCUAGGAUGAGGGAUAU